UAAUUCAGCAAUUCAGACCCAGUCUCACCUACAAACCGGUCCGGUUUAAAUUCCUCCGGUUCGUCAAAAACAUUAGCGUCUCUCAUCACAAGCGGCUGGUAACCACAAAGAAGCUCACCUUUCUUAACCUCAAAAACAGCAUCGUGUGAACUUAUCUGAAAAUCAUCCCUCGCACGUGCGAAUUGCAACGGGACCGGAGGGUUAAAACGCAGCGUUUCGUAAACCACUGAUUUAACCAGCUCCAUUUCGUUGACCGUCUUGAAAUUAAGAUCCGACCCGGAUCCGCAAACUUUCCUGACUUCGGAUCUAAUCCUCUCCUGGAGACCGGAAUUAUCGCCGGAGAUUUUUCCGAUCAAAUAAGGUAAAAAGACGGAAAAGCCCCCGUAAGCGUUAAAACCCAACACGAAUAAAAGAUUCUGAAUCGUCUCAUCUCGGGUCAACCCGAAUUCUUCUUGACCUAACCGGAGACAAUCUACGGCGUUCUCGUCGAUGAAAUUGCAAAGCUUUUUGUAAUUUCCGGCGACUAAGAGAGAAGGGUAAGGCCAAGUAUGGAGAAAAAUCUCUUCAAGCGGUUGAGGAACAAUGCCGACUUUAGUGGUGGGGAUAACUUGCAAUGCAAGCCAAGUAUUGAAUGUUUUCCAACCGUUCUCAGCGAUGUCCGGCGAUACGGAAACGUCAGCGCCGGCGAGAGAGGCGCAGAGGAAACUGAAGAUGCAACGUUGGAGAGGGAAGAUAUAUGAAGCGGCGCCGUUUUUGGUAACUUCGGAUUCGAUUGUUCCCCAGAAAGUGUUUAGGUUUGAACGAAGCUCUUGUAGCCAUACUUUUGAGCUUCGUUUUAGUAUUUCCAUAGCGAAACUUUUUAUCUGAGUUUAAAACAUGUUAAAAAAAAAAAAAAAAAUGUAAAAAAGUUAAAUUAUUCAAUUGUAAAGAAAAAAAAAAAAAAAAAAAACUGUUCAUCGAUUGCAAUGGCGAACACUUUUAAGGAAUACAGUCGAAAACGCCAAACUUUUAUAACGUUUCUUCUGUAUUUUAAUAGGUAAAAAAUACGUGUUUUAUACAAGAAAAAUAUGUUUUUUGUUAUGUUUUAUAUGAUUUACAGAAUAAUACUUUUGUUUCUACUAAGCUUGUAACAUGGUACAACUACAACCACAAACCUUUUUUUUAACAAAUCUGUAAUAAAGGCUCACAUGAUUGGUAAAAGAGUGCCAACAAUUUUUAAAAACUUAUUAUUCCCCACCUUAUUAUUUUUUUUCAUUUUUUCAGCAGGUCUUUCUCAUAUUUUUCACCAAUAUACUAAUUUCAGAAAGAAAAAAAAAUUGCCUCAAAAAUGAAUCCUCUAAAUCUGAAAUUAAAAAAACCAUUAGUCCGCUUGAACUUUCCAAACCAUUUAGAUUAACUGAUAGUAAAAAUCACUAGACAUCAAAUCCAGUCACUAAAAAAGUACACUUAAAAAGUAUUUAAAAUUUAUAGAUAACAAUGAUUAGAAGUAUAUUUUUGUGGUUCAUUCAUGAUAACUAGUUAGGUUUGGUUCGAUUAAUUUUGAAAGUUAAAAAAUAUUUCUUAAAAAUUUAAAUUACGUCUCUUACUAUGAUUUAAUCAUGUAAACGGUGGUACAAUCUAUAUAUUAUUUUUUUGACUAAAGAGUUUUUGACCUUUGAUUAAAAUUUAUUAGAAUUAGAUGAGAAUAGGUAAAUUAAUCAUCUCCGUUGUGGAUACUACUCAAACCCAAGAUUUGGUUAUGCUCAUCUAUAAGCUCCCUGUAGAGCAUAUAAUUUGAUAUCGUUACUUUGUUGUUACCUUAUUACGUAUUAAUUAUAUACACUCGUACAUACGAACCUUGGCGUGCUUUGGCUCGGUAGUGUCUAGAUAAACUCCAACACGAACACCGCCGUAGAACUCGAGGCUAGGCCGGAAGUCUCCGAUGAGAACAUCUCUUUUAUCAACUAGAUCCAUGUCAAAGAGAUGGCUAAAAGACUUGACGUCGAGAACGGCGACGAUGUUAGGGUUAACGUCGCCAAAGAAAGGAAACGUCGGAGGAAUGUUUGUACGGAACACAGUGCUCUUGUACUUUUCAGCCCUUGUCCGGAAAAACUUAUCGGGUCCUUGGAACCAGAAGUAAUCUAAACGGUCCGACAAAGGUCCAACAACCGGCCAACCGUACGAUCCCGGCAUUGUACGAAGGGGAAGCUGCGACGGGGGUGACGGCGGUUGCUGUGAUGUUAGGGGUGUUGACGGUGGUGACCGCGGGGAAGCAGCCGCCAUCGUUCUCAGUAACAUCUUUUGAGCUUAAUUUUUUUUCUUGGAAAUUAUCUCUUCGUCCUCUAUUUCCAUGCGGUUGUAGAUGUAUCUUGGUAAAGAUAUAAAUAAAUGAAGAAAGAGAACAUUAAUUAAUGACAUGCAUAUUUUGUAGACUUUUCGUAAACAGUUUUUUUUUUUUUUUUUUUUUUAUCUUUUUUCUGUACUAUUGUUUAUUGUAUAGUGAUAUAUCACGGAUUUUACCGAUUUUAGCCGUGAUAUAUGUGUCAGUUUUAGAGUCUUUUUGUUGUUUCUUGUGUCUUUUUAAGUUUUUUCAGUUUUUUACAUGUUCGGGACAAAUUUGGAGAAAAAUAACCAUUCUGGAGCUAAACCAGAGAUUUAGAGCUGAGGGAACGAUUUCGGUAUCAGACCCAGCGAAAAAUCUCGACGGUUUGGAGUUUUAAAGCCCGAAAACUUUCCUAUUUGCAACUUUAGUCUCUACACGUUUUUGGAGAUAUUAUAAGUAGUUUUUAGGGCUUUUAAUUCUAUUUCAGGAUCUUGUUUUCUGCUUUUGGCUUUGUAAUUCUCUGAGGUUGAACCCGUUGGAAAAUAAUUGGAGAGAGCAACUUUUCAGAGAUUUCAAAAUCCGUAGAGAGAAGAUUUAUUCUAAACUCUAUUCUCUUUUUUAUUUCUUAUUUGUAAUUUAUUCAAACAUGUUUUAUGUUUCAUUAAUCAUGUUUGAAGUAGUAAAUCUAUUAUCUCUUAGGAUUAAUCUUUAGAGUUCUUCACCU
rnacentral:lncRNA from 1 species